GUUGUGACGUCAUUGAGUGUCGUUCUCUUGUUAGAAUACGAACUUCUACUCUACUUCUGCCUUAUUCACGAUGCAGCAAAUUGUCAAACAGUUGCGUCGUGUCGGCGCCGUAAGAAUAAUCAACAUGAUUAGUUAAAUAACUGCAAGUAUGGGCAUUCUCAUCUAGAACGAACUGAAUCCAUCAAUAGAUCUUAAAUUGUACGAAUACCCUUACAUUACGAAAGAGAAGUUUAAACAAGCAGCUCAUACAUACCUACAUAAAGCCAAUGGCAAAACUAUACAGUGCGCUAAAUGGGAACAUGCGACGUUGCCGCUCCGUACAACGUGUCGGCUCGAUGCCGAAAGCGCACGACUUUUCCCGAACGGAAUUCAUCGAGCGUCUACGUAAGAAAUCCACUUCACUACACACUUCACUACCUAUAAAAAUAUCAAAAUAUGCUAUAUUAAGCAGAACCUAGAAGAUCCCGCUUAUUUUAGUUGCUUUUUUGAGAGCAGUCAUGUUAAGAAUAUUAAGAACUUAGUAAUGACGGCGAUGAUGACGCGAUCGAUGGUGAAUGGGACUUAUCAUCCUGCAUCUAAUCUGGUCACAUCAUUAUAGAAUUAGAAAGGAUGACCGAUUAUUCGGCAAUGAGUUGUUCUAAUACUACAUUAUAAGACGCCCGAAUGUUGGAUUUGAAGGCCCCAAAUGGAUGCAGAAAUUAAAAAAAACGACUGAAAACCCUUAAAUAAUCCACACGUCCCGAUAAAUCGGAAAAAAAUCCUGGAGUUUUGGAGGGUAAAUAGAAUUAUUAAUUUUUUUUUAAUAAUAGUUAAAAAAAUGAAAAUUAUCCAAUCGAGAACUGCUGACGUAUGAAUUUGUAAUAUUAAAAUUUUAGUUUUCAUUAA